rnacentral:rRNA from 1 species
AUUGAACGCUGGCGGCAGGCUUAACACAUGCAAGUCGAGCGAGCGGCGGACGGGUGAGUAAUGUCUGGGAAACUGCCUGAUGGAGGGGGAUAACUACUGGAAACGGUAGCUAAUACCGCAUACCAUAAGAUGUGCCCAGAUGGGAUUAGCUAGUGGGUGGGGUAAUGGCUCACGUAGGCGACGCUACCUAGCUGGUCUGAGAGGAUGACCAGCGACACUGGCACUGAGACCGGGUCCAGACCCCUACGGGAGGGAGGAGUGGGGAAUAUUGCACAAGGGGCGCAAGCCUGAUGCAGCCAUGCCGCGUGUGUGAAGAGGGCCUUCGGGUUGUAAAGCACUUUCAGCGAGGAGGCGUUACUCGCAGAAGAAGCACCGGCUAACUCCGUGCCAGCAGCCGCGGUAAUUC